GAAACAGAUGGUAAGAUUAAUUUAAAUGAAAUAUAUCAUUAAAUUCAGUUGUUGUUAAUAUAUCCUUUUUCAUUAUAGGCUGCGUCUCUUAGACGUGAGUCGAGCCCGAUGGAGCUGUUUGUGGAGACGCAUGUGCGGAGUCAAGACCGCCAGAAGGGGGUGUAACAGUUCGUUGAUAACCGUGCUCAACAUUUCGUGGUAUACCUAUAAUAAUCGGUUGAGGGAGAGAUACGGGGAUGAUAUUUUGACCCAUUUGGAAUUCGAUCCGGAUUUGUGGAUGUAGGUUGGCUUGUCAGGUGGACCCGAUAAAAAUCAGGUUUACGGGCUCUCCAACACUAUGGCCGAUAACUUGCGGUCGACCUGUAGUGUUUCAACCGUUGGGAGCUCCCAAUCUAAGGAGUUCGAGGCCUUGCAGCAACACAUGACUUAGCUUACC